CCUGCAUAAAUGUAUUAUUAUUUGGCCUGGCAGUUCAGUUUAGUUGAUUGUUUUCCUCGGUUACUGUGUCUCGGCUAAAUCAAUAAGCCCCCUCUAAAUUAGGAAGAGAUUAUUUCGCUGGCCUCAAGAGUGACAAAACGUAACAAAGCAACGGUUUUACUAACACUAACCCUACUCCAAACACCAACUCUACCCUAAUCCUUACCCUAACCUAACCCUACUCCAAAUUUGUUUCUAAACCAAUCUUGAAGAAAGUUUUGACGAAAUGUCAUUCCGAG